ACACUGCUGACAAGUCCCAUAAUAGGACGAAAGCGCCGUCUAGUGU
rnacentral:hammerhead_ribozyme from 1 species